rnacentral:lncRNA from 1 species
GGAUUACGAAACGCACAAAAAAAACAUUUCGAUAAGCAACAAUCAAUAAAUGAAGAUGAGGAGGAGGAGGAGUCAACAAACGAAGAAGAAAUGUCGACGCAAGGAUCGACAUCCGACAAGCGAAAAAGGCCGCUAUUCAUUGAUGACAGUCUGGAAGCUUGGAUUAGGGCUUCAGGAGGCAAGACGAAAGGAUGUAUUCUCGGAAUGAAACCGGGGGAUGAUUCAUUGAUGCCGAAGAAAUCCAAGGCCAAAAUAAAU